rnacentral:rRNA from 1 species
UCCAGACUCCUACGGGAGGCAGCAGUGGGGGAUAUUGCACAAUGGGGGGAACCCUGAUGCAGCGACGCCGCGUGGGUGAAGGAGCGUUUCGGCGCGUAAAGCCCUCUCGGCAGGGAAGAAGGAGGACGGUACCUGACUAAGAAGCCCCGGCUAACUACGGGCCAGCAGCCGCGGUAAUACGUAGGGGGCAAGCGUUAUCCGGAUUUACUGGGUGUAAAGGGGGCGCAGACGGCAGCGCAAGCCAGGAGUGAAAGCCCGGGGCCCAACCCCGGGACUGCUCUUGGAACUGCGCGGCUGGAGUGCAGGAGGGGCAGGCGGAAUUCCUGGUGUAGCGGUGAAAUGCGUAGAUAUCAGGAGGAACACCGGUGGCGAAGGCGGCCUGCUGGACUGCGACUGACGUUGAGGCCCGAAAGCGUGGGGAGCAAACAGGAUUAGAUACCCCGGUA